rnacentral:rRNA from 1 species
ACUCCUGCGGGAGGCAGCAGUGGGGAAUUUUGGACAAUGGGCGAAAGCCUGAUCCAGCAAUGCCGCGUGAGUGAAGAAGGCCUUCGGGUUGUAAAGCUCUUUUGUCAGGGAAGAAACGGUGAAAGCUAAUAUCUUUUGCUAAUGACGGUACCUGAAGAAUAAGCACCGGCUAACUACGUGCCAGCAGCCGCGGUAAUACGUAGGGUGCAAGCGUUAAUCGGAAUUACUGGGCGUAAAGCGUGCGCAGGCGGUUUUGUAAGUCUGAUGUGAAAUCCCCGGGCUCAACCUGGGAAUUGCAUUGGAGACUGCAAGGCUAGAAUCUGGCAGAGGGGGGUAGAAUUCCACGUGUAGCAGUGAAAUGCGUAGAUAUGUGGAGGAACACCGAUGGCGAAGGCAGCCCCCUGGGUCAAGAUUGACGCUCAUGCACGAAAGCGUGGGGAGCAAACAGGAUUAGAAACCCGUGUAGUCCCAUGAU